AUUGAACGCUGGCGGCAUGCUUUACACAUGCAAGUCGAACGGCAGCGCGGGCUUCGGCCUGGCGGCGAGUGGCGAACGGGUGAGUAAUGCAUCGGAACGUGCCCAGUAGUGGGGGAUAGCCCGCCGAAAGCCGGAUUAAUACCGCAUACGACCUGAGGGUGAAAGCGGGGGACCGAAAGGCCUCGCGCAUUUGGAGCGCCCGAUGUCGGAUUAGCUAGUUGGUGGGGUAAAGGCUUACCAAGGCGACGAUCCGUAGCUGGUCUGAGAGGACGACCAGCCACACUGGGACUGAGACACGGCCCAGACUCCUACGGGAGGCAGCAGUGGGGAAUUUUGGACAAUGGGGGCAACCCUGAUCCAGCCAUGCCGCGUGCGGGAAGAAGGCCUUCGGGUUGUAAACCGCUUUUGUUCGGGAAGAAAUCCUCUGGGCUAAUACCCCGGGGGGAUGACGGUACCGGAAGAAUAAGCACCGGCUAACUACGUG
rnacentral:rRNA from 1 species